UGUUUCUGCUGUUAUAUGAUAGAGAGGAGACGGUCUCUGUGGCUAAGAACUACACGUACGAUGACGGCUGUGAGCCCUGCGGUACAGAUACCUUCAUCAGAGAGCCCUUCAUUGUCAUGUUCUCCUCGAACUACACAGCUGUGGGGAACUUUGUUUUGAUUCCUCAACACACGUCUCCAGACUCGGCAGUGAAGGAGGUUGAUGCUCUGUACGAUGUGGCCGCUGACGUCAGAGCUCGCUGGAACACCAAUGCCAAAGAGGGAGAGGUUGGUCUUUGACUGCAGGAAAGGGCUACCCUGUCUCCUCUCCAUCAUCUUCAUCAUCUGAUCUCCACCUCUUCAUCGACACUGAUUGAAGUAGAUUUAACUAAGUGACAUCAAUAAGGGAUCAUAUCUUUAACCCGGAUCCACCUGGUCAGUCUGUCAUGGAAAUGUAUCGUACAAUCACUGCUACUGCUCCUGUUGAUCAUAUAUCCUGAUGUCACCUCACCCCUCUACAUACAGUAUCUAACUCUAUCACUCCAGUAUCCUAUCUGCUCCUGUUGAUCAUAUAUCCUGAUGUCACCUCACCCCUCUACAUACAGUAUCUAACUCUAUCACUCCA